rnacentral:tRNA from 1 species
GCUGUAGACUAACUGGUUAGGUCGGCUCCACGAAAUGGAGGAGAUGCGGGUUCGAAUCCUGCCGGCG